rnacentral:rRNA from 1 species
AUUGAACGCUGGCGGCAUGCUUUACACAUGCAAGUCGAACGGUAACAGGCCUUCGGGUGCUGACGAGUGGCGAACAGGUGAGUAAUGCAUCGGAACGUACCCAGAGGUGGGGGAUAACGCAGCGAAAGCUGUGCUAAUACCGCAUGUGAUCUGAGGAUGAAAGCGGGGGACCGCGCAGCAAUGUUUGGCCUCGCGCCUUUGGAGCGGCCGAUGUCGGAUUAGCUAGUUGGUGGGGUAAAGGCCUACCAAGGCGACGAUCCGUAGCUGGUCUGAGAGGACGACCAGCCACACUGGGACUGAGACACGGCCCAGACUCCUACGGGAGGCAGCAGUGGGGAAUUUUGGACAAUGGGCGCAAGCCUGAUCCAGCAAUGCCGCGUGCGGGAAGAAGGCCUUCGGGUUGUAAACCGCUUUUGGCAGGAACGAAACGGUGUCCGCUAAUACCGGGCGCUAAUGACGGUACCUGCAGAAUAAGCACCGGCUAACUACGU